rnacentral:rRNA from 1 species
UACGGGGGGAGCAAGCGUUGUUCGGAUUUACUGGGCGUAAAGGGCGCGUAGGCGGCCAGCACAAGUCAGUUGUGAAAUCUCCGAGCUUAACUCGGAACGGUCAACUGAUACUGUGCGGCUAGAGUGCGGAAGGGGCAACUGGAAUUCUUGGUGUAGCGGUGAAAUGCGUAGAUAUCAGGAGGAACACCGGUGGCGAAGGCGGGUCUCUGGGCAACAACUGACGCUGAGGAGCGAAAGCGUGGGGAGCGAACAGG